GUGGAAAUAGACCUUGCCUUUGAUGGAAGGGGCUGCAAAGUCACCUUGCAAAGGGGUGAACAUAACAGGAUAGGAGGAAUUUGUGACUAUUAUUCACAAUGCUACUAUCUGCCCUCUGCCCACUGUUAUUUACAUGUCCAUCAUGUGCAGAAGAAAUGAAAACAAAACAUUAAAAUUGACUGUCUCUGAGAAGGAGAAUAGGGGGUAAGGAAGAGUGGGGACAAAGGUUUUUUCAUUCUAGGCCCUUCCAUACUCUUCUUUUUAAACACAUGCACACUCUAUAAAAACAAAUGUUUCUGAUGUUCUAUAAGGUGCAUAUAAAUCCCUUGCUUUAAAAAGAAAAACUGGAAGGAUAGUUUCUCCUAUCCUCAUCAAAUAAAUGAUGAACAAUAUUUACUGAAUAGGUAUUCUAAGAACUGCAAGAUUCUUAAACUACUCAGAUUCAACCUUGUUCAGUUUUAUUCUGCCUCCUAAGAAUUCAAUUAAAAAAUGUGAUUGUGUGUAUGAAAAAUGCUUCCUAAGUUAUAAAUGUUUUAUAACUCACUAUACAUUAUCCACUGCAACUGUUCCUACGUUGUGCCCAGCACUGUAUUAAGCUGUGCAGAGGCCACAAAAGGACCAGAAAAUAAGUUUUCUGCCAGCAAGAAAUUAACAGUCUAGGUGAAGAGACCAGAUGAUACCCACAAACCAAUUACAGUACAUUACGCUAGACUGUACGAGUCCGUGCAGACAGUACUCUUUGCUCAUUGCAGCCUCAUCAGGACCCCACAUACAAUAAGACCUUGAUAAAUAUGCAUUGAUGGAGGGAUAGAUCAAUUACCUGGCAGCCUAUAACUCAGAGCCUGGUCACAGUACCAAUUGCAAAUGCUGGAGGCAUCUGAGAAGCGGCAAUCAGAGGAGUUGGUUGUACUCAGCCAGGCACCCAGGCCGGGCUUUAUUUCCAACCAGGAUAUGACAAAAAGAAAAGACUCAGAGAUGGGAAGGAGGUCAAACCAGGGAAGUGGUAAGAGGGCUAUAAGAUCUCCCAGAGCACCCACCUUCUGCCCUUGCAGCAGGCAUCUGGGCAGACAGGAAGCAGGGCUGGGGAGGAGUGGACAGGAUGGGCUGGCAAGGGACAGGAAGCACUUGGAGCACCAGGGAGGAAGGGAGGGGACAAAUCCUACCACCUAGCAGACCACAGGAAAGCUCCAAUCAUGGGCACUUCUGGCCUUCCCCACAGAAGAAUCCUGCCUUUUCCUCCACACUGAAAUUGGCAGCAGAAACAAAGGUGAAUUGGACAUUCUCCCACUCACCAGGAUAUUAGUGCCUCUUACAGAGGGACAAACACCAGUGACAUAAAUAAUCAAGGGCCUUGAAGCAUCCCGAAUGACAGCAAGCCAGGACUCUGAGAUGGAACUAGGCACACCGGAGUUCCUAUCCUGAUUCCAGGCCCAAGAUCCUAAGCCCUGCAAGAUAAACAUUCUGUCCAUCCAAUGAGGAAGUGGAUGUAAAGGAUUUCAAAAAGAAGAAGAAGAAGAAGAAGAAGAAGAAGAAGAAGAAGAAGAAGAAGAAGAAAGAAAGAAAGAAAGAAAGAAAGAAAGAAAGAAAGAAAGAAAGAAAGAAAAAGAAAAGAGAAAACAAAAACAGAAUUGUCCAAGGAAACACAACUGAUUAAUGACAGGAUUUGAGCCCAUGUCCUGAAAUCUAGCAGGAUUUAAAACUAAGUCUGACUGUCUCUAAGACCUGGGGAUUUUGUUUGUUUGUUCUUUUUAAAACUAAACCACCAUUUGAAUGAAUAAUUGUGAAUAAAUGAUGGUGAAUGAGUCAAUGCA